rnacentral:lncRNA from 1 species
UUCACCCAAUGCUUCAUGACUGGAGUUUUUCUUGGAUGGUUUGUGUUUUCGUUGAUGAUUCUUGAACAUCUCGUUGAAUGCGUCAAAACCGAAGGACCCGCCAAAACCCGAGAGACUGAUUGUAGCUGCCCUGGCGGCUAAGGGAUGGAACUGCUGUGGGGGUGGCUCGGACUUCACUUUUUGAGGACCGUGUGUUGAUGGGUCGGAAAGUAACCUACCGGCAAUGGGAUAUGCACCGAUGAAGAAAAGGAGAAAUUAGUUGGCUCGUUAAUGUUACGCAAAAAUGGGCAACUAACAAUGUUUUGUCGGGAAGUUGAUGAUUCCUCAGCCAUGUUUCUAUUUAAAAAGUUGAUUUUCAACGCGACGUU